rnacentral:lncRNA from 1 species
CUUUAUUCAUCUUCGAGAAGAAGAAAAAAAUCAUCCUUCUUCAAAGUGUUACAAUGAAAAUGGCUAAACAUCUCAAGGUGGUGGUCAGAAGCUUAAAUUAUGACUUGUGGAAAUACUAGAACUUAGGGGGGGUGGGCAUUUCUGAAAGACUGUCAGGACCAAUUUGCAGGAAUUCACAAACUUGCAUGAGAAACCAUGGUCUGGCAGAUUUUGCUGAGCCAGGAAGUUACUGUUGGUCUACACAGAAAAUCUGUAAUCAUGUGAUGAUGCAACAGUGCAUCCAUGUUCUUUAGGUGGAACAUGAUCUCCUGGAAUGGAAUAGCUAAAGCAGGGACUUUCAGAUCGCUUGCUCAGCAACAGCUCACGUGUUCCUUAAAAUCUAAAUCCUCGUAUUCACUUCCGACAGUUCAAAUUAUUUGUCACAUGUUGUUCCUGUAAGAAAAUAGUUUGAGAGAGAUGAAAAGGAAACUUGGAUGUGAAAGAAAGAAUGAAAAGGAACAAAGAUGGAUAGCUAAGCAGAGGAACAGAAAAAACUUUAAUACCUUUCACAUUAAUUGUUUCAUUUUUCUACUAGUACUGGUCCACAAACUUGCUGAAUUAUCUUUAUGCUAUGAAUCAGCAUUCUUAGUCUUCUUUAUGAAUCGCUUCAUUAUACAAUUCUCCAUUUGUUCAUUUUAUUGUCUUCUAGUUCAAUUAACUAUGUGAUAAUGUCUACUUCUUGCAAUCAACUAUUCUUGGCAUUAUGGGAAUAAAAUUUUCUGUUAAAAUAUGUCUUUGUCUUAAGGAGUUUAAUAUUUAGUGGAAGGAACCAAACAUAACUAACUCAAAUGUCAUACAGAAUUAUAAAAACUCUAAACAGAAAUACAAGAAACAUACUGCAAAAAUAUGAAAGUAAGAUGUACUUAUUUUGCCUGAGGAAGCCAGAGAAAUUUCAUCUAUGAAGCUGUCUUGAUGACUAAAAAGGGCUUAGUUAGCUAAGGAUCACUGAGAGCAUAGAUGAACAAGGUCAGGUAAAACAAAAUCGAAAAGAAUCACCAGGAAUAAUUGGGAUCUAAUGUACCAGCUAAUUCUGAAAAUGUACCUUGAGGGCAUUUUCCCCCAUGCAGGAGUUAUUCAGUUUCCCUUUCAUUUCCUUUUG